CUAAACUAGACGACAAAAUUAAAUGCAUCAAAUAUGAAAUAUUAAACCCACAACCAAUCUGUAAUUUGAACUGAAUUGAAUUGGAUUGAAUUCAUUCGUUUCAUUCGCAGGGCACAAAAAAGUUACAAAACCAUUCACUCCAGAUGAGCUUUGGGAUGAUGGCAUGGAAAAGAUGUAAUUUCCCUUUUUUACCCAUGGGUUUGUGACUCCAGAUUUAGCACAAGAAGUGGCACGUGAAAAAACUCCAAGCCUGGAGAUAAGAGGAGCAUCUGUAUUAAAAACUGACCGGACUCCACAAGAUUGCAAAGCAGUCUUGUGUUUGGAGGCCGCUGAUUUGGAGACCUGCAUCUUUCCAAGACCAUGGACCGACUCUACACAAAUGACAAUGACAACGUUCAAUAUGUGUGCUCGUCUGACUCGUGCAGAAAGCCCUCAGGAAGAUUGCUCUGAUAGCGCCGAGUAAUCCCAAGGUCUACAAUGGGUGGUGCCAGAUGUAGUACAUCGAGUUCAUCUUUGUAGAAGUUGUUGGCGACACGCACAGAGGCCACGGAUGAUAAAACAAGGACCGCAAUGGCUUUAAAAUUAAAACGGGCUCCAGCGCUGAGUCGCAAAGGGGGCUAUCAAAAGCCCACAAGAGAGUGAUGUUUAUAUUGUUGUGAUUUGCCGAGCUGGUUGUUUUGUUUAUGUCCUACAUAAAAUAUGUAUAUAUUUAUAUUGUAACGUAGUAGUUUUGUUCUAUUAAAUAGCCCCCAUUUUUUAAUACUGUAUGUAUAGUUUUACAUUUUUAAACAUAUGAUUUAAAAACAUUGCACAUUUAUAUUUGUGAUGGUUGGAUAAUGUUUGAAAAAAUGUAUUUA